GGGCAUGUGGUGUAGUGGCAUCAUACUCCGUUCGGGUUUCCGUCUCGGAGUUCGGAGUGGCCCUGGGUUCAAAUCCCAGCUUGCCCC